rnacentral:rRNA from 1 species
AACGUAGGAGACAAACGUUAUCCGGAGUUACUGGGCGUAAAGGGCGUGUAGGUGGUUUCGUAAGUCUGGCGUGAAAUUUUUCGGCUUAACCGGGGAAGGUCGUCGGAUACUGCGGAGCUAGAGGACGGUAGAGGCGUGUGGAAUUCCGGGUGUAGUGGUGAAAUGCGUAGAGAUCCGGAGGAACACCAGUGGCGAAGGCGACACGCUGGGCCGUACCUGACACUGAUGCGCGACAGCAUGGGGAGCAAACAGG